CCCAGAAAGCGAUAUUUUGCUUUUAGUUUCGACCUAAAUCUAGGUAUUUUAAUACCUCUGGUUAA
rnacentral:tRNA from 1 species